UACUCGAGUGGCGAACGGGUGAGUAACACGUGGGUGAUCUGCCCUGCACUUCGGGAUAAGCCUGGGAAACUGGGUAUAAUACCGGAUAGGAGCCAUUUUUAGUGUGAUGGUUGGAAAGUUUUUUCGGUGUAGGAUGAGCUCGCGGCCUAUCAGCUUGUUGGUGGGGUAAUGGCCUACCAAGGCGGCGACGGGUAGCCGGCCUGAGAGGGUGGACGGCCACAUUGGGACUGAGAUACGGCCCAG
rnacentral:rRNA from 1 species